GACGAACGCUGGCGGCGUGCCUAAUACAUGCAAGUAGAACGCUGAAGGAGGAGCUUGCUUCUCUGGAUGAGUUGCGAACGGGUGAGUAACGCGUAGGUAACCUGCCUGGUAGCGGGGGAUAACUAUUGGAAACGAUAGCUAAUACCGCAUAAUAGUAGAUGUUGCAUGACAUUUGCUUAAAAGGUGCAAUUGCAUCACUACCAGAUGGACCUGCGUUGUAUUAGCUAGUUGGUGGGGUAACGGCUCACCAAGGCGACGAUACAUAGCCGACCUGAGAGGGUGAUCGGCCACACUGGGACUGAGAUACGGCCCAGACUCCUACGGGAGGCAGCAGUAGGGAAUCUUCGGCAAUGGACGGAAGUCUGACCGAGCAACGCCGCGUGAGUGAAGAAGGUUUUCGGAUCGUAAAGCUCUGUUGUAAGAGAAGAACGAGUGUGAGAGUGGAAAGUUCACACUGUGACGGUAUCUUACCAGAAAGGGACGGCUAACUACGUG
rnacentral:rRNA from 1 species